CCCUUAGAUGUCCUGGGCCGCACGCGCGCUACACUGACAUGUUCAACAAGUUUCUCCUAGUUCGACAGGACUGGGAAAUCUUUGAACGCAUGUCGUGAUAGGGAUAGAUCAUUGCAAUUAUUGAUCUUGAACGAGGAAUUCCUAGUAAACGCGAGUCAUCAGCCCGCAUUGAUUACGUCCCUGCCCUUUGUACACACCGCCCGUCGCACCUACCGAUUGAAUGUUUCGGUGAAGAUUCCGGAUAGGACUGAUUUGAUUUAUUUCAUUUCUGACCUAAAAGCUAUCUAAACCUCAACAUUUAGAGGAAGGUGAAGUCGUAACA
rnacentral:rRNA from 1 species